AUGGUGGCUCUUUGCAGGCUGAGUGUCCUCUGUGGUGCCCAAGGAGGCCGAGCUCUGUUCCUCCAAACCUCAGUGGUCAGACCUGCUUAUUUAUGUCUCAGCAUUUCUCCAGGACUGACCUCCUCCAGAGUGGUGUGGAACGCAGCACAUACAUCUGUCACUGAGCCACCACUCUGCUUCCAAGGCUGCAUCUCUCCACUGGACUAGUGAGAGGGUUGUCAAGGUUUUGCUCCUGGGCCUCCUUCCAGCUGCUUAUUUGAAUCCUUGUUCUGUGAUGGACUACUCCCUGGCUGCAGCCCUUACUCUCCAUAGUCACUGGGGCCUUAGACAAGCUGUUACUAACUGUGUUCAUGGGGACACAUCACAGAAAGCUGCCAAGGCAGGCCUUCUGGCACUUCCAGCUUUAACUUUUGCUGGGCUUUGUUAUUUCAACUAUCAGGAUGUGGGUAUCUGCAGAGCUGUUGCUGUGCUGUGGAAACUCUGACCUUUUUGACUUCCUACCUUAAGAAUUGAUUGUAUUCCUCUUUGCCUCUGCUUUGUCGUGCCAUUCAACUCAUAAUAAGGAAGAAAUAAUUAAGUCCAUUGCUGGACAAAGCUUUUGUUAUAAUCAUGUGGUUAUUUUCAAAUGUUAAUUUUU